GUAUCAAAAUUAAAGGAGUCAAUGCGUUUCUUGCGACACCUGCUACGGCGUUGUCAUUUCUAAAUUUAGCCCGUAAUUAUAGGAUUAUUCCAGACACAUUGCAUAAAAUACAAAAUUAGAAAGAGGAUUAUAUCAAUAAAAAAAACAAAAAACUAUAUACCAAUUGGAGUUUUGCCUAGUAGUUGGUGGAGCAAAAUUUUAGUAGUGUAAUAUAGUGUAAUUAAGCCGAUUUAAAUCAUAUAUAUUAAAUACAAAACCACAAAGUGAAUACAAGCCCAUAUAAUACAUGGCCCAUUUUGCGUUCGAUAAAAGGCCGUGUGAGUUGGCCCAUUUGCGUGCGACCCAGCAUGGUCCGGUCCGGUCCAGCUUGGCUCCGCCAUAUGCUAAUAUUUUCUGUGCACUUUAUCUUUCCUUUAUUUUUUUGAGAGAUAGGUAGCAUGCUAUCUGCUUAUCUGCUUCAUUUAUUUUAUUUAGAAAUAAAUUUAGCUGAAAAUAUGAAUCAAUUAGGAUUCGAACUUGAAAUCUCGGAUACCAACCACCAAGCCUUUUACCUUUCCUUCAUAGGUUUAAUUUAGCUUUUGCUUAGUUGCGCCUAAUUAUAAUGAUGGAUUCUUAAGAUAAUUAACCUCUAAAGUGUGAAAUAAUUUGCUAAUAAUAAUAAUAAUAAUAAUAAUAAACUGAGGUCAAAGGAUCAGCAAUGUAGAAUGUGAUGAUUCAGUGAUGAUUCUUUUAUCAUGUGGUUUCAUCUGAGGAUAUUUGAAUAUAGAUCUAAUUAUUUUUAUUGGUAAAAAAAUAAUUAAAAAAAGGAAUUCAUAAACUACUACAGUAAUUCAUGUGAAGGGCCUGUUGCACCACCUGCUCUUCCACUGCCCCUUUGUUUGUUAUUUUGUAUCAUUUCCUGUCCCUUAGCACAAUCUAUUUUAUCUUCUCUAUUUUAGUAAACCAAAAAAUAAGUGUCACACACACAUUCUAUGCAGGUAAAAACGUAUAAAAUUCAUCUGGAUUAUAAAUUAUUUUGAAUUAAAAUUGUCCAAUUUUUUUACUAUUUUGAUUUAACCAAUAAUCACUGAAUCAGUUAACAACACUUUCAUUUUCAAAUUUAAGCUAAUUAUUUAUUUUAAUAAAUUUAUAGUUACGAAAAUUGUAUGAAAUAUACUAACUAGACCUGUUAAGAUAAACGGCUUAUUUGAGUUUUAAAAUUAAAGUACAGUUGAUUGACUCAAAUUAAACGAAUUAAAAAAUAGAAUAGUAAAAUUAAAAGGCUAAAUUACAGAAAACCCCUCUGUAAUAACCCGCUUUUUCACUUUCCCCCCCUGACAUUUAAAAACCUACACUUUGCCCCCUUGUAAAAUGAAAAAUGUUCACAGGGGGGUUACGGUGUGUAAAAUGACCAUUUUGCCCCUCGCCAUUGUUGUCUUCUUCCUGAGCUUCCUCAGCCGCCCCUUCGAUCCGCCGGUUUUCCACCUCAAUCGGCCACGAUUCCUCUCAAAUUUCUUCUCCACCUGCUUCCCUUCUCCUCCUACACCGUCGCCGCCCAUCGAUUUCGGCGAUGGGUGUUGAUGGAGAGGUAGACAGGGAAAACGAGAGCGCAGACGAGGCUGCGGAGGAGGACGAAGGGGACGUGGGCGAGGGCGAAGCAGUGGAGGACGGUGAGGCGGCGAGGCGGCGAAGCGGCGAGCCGGAGGGAGCGAAGCAUCCGAGAAGAGGCAGAGGGGUAUUUUCGGUAUAAAAAAAUAUUUUUUAACAGAACCCCUAACGGAACCCUAACGGAAGGGGUGAAGUGCACAUUUUUCAUUUUACAAGGGGGCAAAGUGUAGGUUUUUAAAUGUCAGGGGGGGAAAGUGAAAAAGCGGGUUAUUACAGGGGGGUUUUCUGUAAUUUAGCCAAAUUAAAAUUUUAAAAUGUUGGGCAAACAGCUCAAAAUGGUUCGUAGUAGUUCAAGUGAGUUCUGUAAAAUUAAAAUUUCUAUUAAAACAUAGAAGUUGACAUAUAACUUAUAUUAGUUAAUGUGUGUAACAAAAACUUAGCAGAAUUUAAUGGUGUGAAUAACAAUUCAUUACUGGAGAGAGGUUUUACUCCAAAGAAAUAGUAGUUGAGGGGCCUUUUUCUAAUUAAAUAUAGUCCGAGGCACUGUAGUGUUUUGGUUCAACCACUUAAGUUGGAUGAGUUAAAAAGCUGCUUUGGACUUUUAUUAGAAUCAGCAGUUCAACCAUCGAACCGAUAAACAAAUUUGAUUAUAAUCUAAUCGGCCGAAUCUUUUUGAUCAUGUCAUGUUAAAAUCUAACGACUUAGAAUAAACUUAGCUGAGUUUAUUUUUCAUCAAAAAUAAAAUUUGAAAAUUCAUGUAUCUUAAUUUAGUUUAAAAAUCAAUAUUUUAUAAUUAAAUAUGAUAAUAAAAUAAUAUAUUAUAUUUUUUAUAAUUAAAUAAUAAUUAUUAAAAAUAAUAAUUAAAUAUUUAUGACGUCACACUGAGUUGGUUUGAACUAAUGAUCCUGAAUCUAUUGACAUUUUCAUGUCGCUAUUUGUUCCGUUGUUAAGAUAUUAUUUUUUGAUGUGGCCCCCUAAACUCAAUUUUAUUUAUUAAAUUUUUGUUUUUUAAGAACUAAAUUAUUCUAGUUAUUAUAUAAGUCUAGAACACUUUUAGGAGUACAAUUACUUUUGUACUCGUAAGUCGUUUUCAAUGAUAAAGCUUCUGAAUCGACGAUUCAUACCGUUAAAUAUUAUCUAGAGUAUUUGGAGUAUUUGAAAUGUCUAGAAAUCAAAUUUUAUAAUUUUCCAACAUUACUUUUUUACGAUUAAUAGAUCUUAAAAUUGACAAUUUUUAACGGCCGGUAUGAAAUAUUUACUAGUUUAACGGUGUAAAAAAAAUAAAAUCGAUCGAAUUUUUUGAUAGAAAAUUUUGUCCACUGUCUAGAUAAAGAUCGAUAACUCCGAUAAUAAAUUGAGAUCUUCUAUUUUUAGAAAAUCAUUCGAUUUUAAUUGUUCAUUUUAUCAUUGCUUGAUGGAUUUGACUAUAAUUUCAAAAAGUUAUAAAAUUUAUUUUUUAGAAAUUUCAAAUGUUCUAAAUUAUAUUUAAUAAUAUGGAUCAUUAAUUCGAAAGCGCUAUUAUCGAAAAUAACCUAUCAGCACGAAUGACGCUAUACUCAUAAAAGUAUAAUAAAUGUAAUGUCCCAAUAGUCCCACAUCGGAUAAGAUACUGAUUUCGAUCAGUUUAUAUGAGACCUACACGCUAAUAGUACUAACUGGGCUUAAUCUCACAUCGCCCGGUAAUGGUCCUGAUCUGUCUGUCUGUGAUCUGGUUUGUACUCGACGAGGACGUCAGGGUCUAAACAGGGGCUUAAGCAUUUUGGGCCGGUACCAAUAGCUUGGUGCUAGUAAUAGUUGGUUUGGUGGGAGCUACCUCUUGAACCGGUAGGAGCCACCUCUAGAAUUUCACAUCGCCUGGUAAUGGUCCUGGUCUGCCUGUCUGUGAUCUGAUUUGGACCCGACGAGGACGUCAGGGUCUAAACAGGGGCUUAAGCAUUUUGGGCUGGUACCAAUAGUUUGGUGCUAGUAAUAGUAUUCUAGUAGUGAGAUCUUCUAAUUUGUUUUAAAAUUCUAUUUUUUUUAAUUUUGAAGUUUCUUUUCUUUCUCAUUAAAAUUGUCUCCGGAACACGAGGCGGACGCAACCGCGCCCUCAUCGCGCCCAGUGUACGGCCACUUUUGAUGCUCCUCUCAACGGUUGGAUUUUCUCCACGUGUCCACAUCCUCAGCCAAUUAGCUCUCUGAUCUAAUGGACGCGUCAUCACGCAUUAAAGAAUCUAAUUAUGCAAAAUCACACAAAUUUACCAUUUCUUAUUAGCUUUCUUGUAAUUUAAUAAUAUUUUUGUUUACUUCAAUUUGACCGCUACAACUUAAUUUGCUAAAAAUCCUAUAUAGUAAACUAUUAAAUCAAAUUUUUUUCCAAUUAUAUCAAUUCUUAUAACUUCUUAUAUAGGGUGCGCUUAGUUCGCAUUAUAAUAUAAUGCUGGAUUACAGUGUACAUAGAAUUAUUAUUUUUAGUUUAUUUUAUAAAAUUCAGUAAUCUUGACUAUUUUUUAUUUCAAGUAAUAUUUUUUAGGUUUACAAAUAAUAAUUUUUUUACUAAAUGUUAUUUAAAAUAAUUUAAAAUUUGAAUUUAGAUUUAAAUUUAAAUUUUAAGUUUUAAAUCUAAACAAAAAUAUAUUUUUUAAUAUUUUAAUUUAAAAUAUAAAUAUAAAAUUUAUAAAUUUAAAUUUAUAAAACCGAUCGUCCGUAGAGCAAGUGACAAAGGGAUUUGUGGUUGGUACCCGAGGUCCCAAGUUCGAAUCUUAGUGAUUCACAUUUCCAGCUAAGUUAUUUCUAAAUGAAAUAAACGAAGCGGGUAGCGUGUUAUCUAUCUAAAAAAAAAAAUAAUUUAAAAUUUUAUGAUUCAAAAUUUUAAAUUAAAAUUUUAGAAAUGACGUAUUAAAAAAAUUUGGGACUGGAGGAGUAAACUUGUAAUUUUACAUAAUAUAUAAGAUAAUCUGCCAUCAAUAAUAUAAAAUACCGACCCCCAUUCGGUAAUAUUUUCGAAGUAAUCUUACACAGUUUGUAGUGUUAUAUUACCAAUUAAAUUGCAGAUUGAAUAAAUCAAAUGUAUUAAUCCUGGCAAGGUAAACCCAACAAAACAUGCCCUGAGUUAAGAGCUAUUUUAAUAAAUCUAGUAGAUAUAUUAUAUUUAUAAAAAUAAAUAUAAUACUUUUUUAUGUACUUUGCCCUAAAGCUAACAAAUCCUAGGUCAAAUUGAAUAUGAAAUUACUGAUAUUUUAGUAUGGCAAAUUAGUAAGUAGCAUUGUCAUAUUGCAUGAAAAAGUUAAAUAGCUCUUUAUAACUUCAUCAUAGAAACUUGUGCACCAUAUAUCUGCCACGUCAUAUGUAGACCAUCUAUUUAUCUUUAUUAUUCAAUUUAGUAAAAAUAAAUUUUGAAAUUAAAUUCUGAGUAGAGUUGAUGAGUCACUCAUUGCAAAACAACAAUAAACUCGUGAUUUAACUUCUCAUAUAUUGUUAAUCUGGUUGCCAAAUUAAAAAAUAAGAUUUAAAUUAUAUUCUAAAUUUUUAUUUAAUAUUUAAAAAAUAAAAUAUUUAGCAAAUGGAAAAAUCCAAUCAUAUUAAUUGAAUUUGUUGAAAUAAAAUUACUGGAUUUUUAUUAGGAGAUUAGGAUUAUGUUCCACUUGUUAAACCCUCUCUACUCUGAUUUGGGGCAGAGCGGUCCACAGUGACGUGGUGGACUAGGCGCACCGAAAGAUUUCUCCUGGAGCAGAUAAGCCAAUCCCCACCGUCCAAAAGAUCAACGGUCGGUUGACUCCGCAUCGCCAUUUCCCCCGACAAAACAGAAUUUCACACCAAAUUCCUCAAGCUCACAACCGUCCAUCACACAUCCAACGGGCCGGAUCCAAAAGUAUUGCGAAGCAAAAGGUUAAUGAAAAUAAAUAAAAUAUUUCUUUUAAAAAAAGAAAUAAAAAUGUCGAAAGGGACGAGCAAACACCCUAAAUCCUCUCUUCACUCCCACCUCCCUCUCUCCUCCUCCCUCUCCGCUCCCAAAAUCCCCACCAAAUCCGCGUCAAAACCCUACCUUUCGAUCGAAAACGAGAGCGCCGAUCGAAGACGAGCGAAACCCAUAUCCCCAUUCCCCGAUUCCCCGUCGAUUGCCGCUCCGAUUCCGCCGCAAAACCCUAGCUCCGGGUUGGGUGGGGGGGGGAGGGGAGGGGAGGUUUUGGCGUGGAAAUCUCGCGAGGAGAUCGAUCCGAUCCGACACCGAGGAAGAGGACUGAGGAGGAAGCGAGUAGGAGACGAUGCUCUCGACGUACUCGUCGCCAUUUGUGCUCUCCUCCUCCUGUUGCUCUCCUCCCCAUCCUUUCCUCCUCGCCCCCGCAUACUCACCCCCAAGACCGCUUCCCGCGAUCCCCGACCCCGACGAGAUCGACGACCUCGCCCUCUUCCGCCGCGCCACCCUCGCCGCCGACGCCGGCUCCGGCGGCGGAGACGGCGGCGCCGUCGCCGCCUCCCUCCGGCGGCGGCCGGCGGCGCAGCCGAAGGUGGCCUUCCUCUUCCUGACGAACUCGGACCUGUCGUUCGCCCCGCUGUGGGAGCGCUUCUUCAGGGGCCACGAGCGCCUCUUCAACGUGUACGUCCACGCCGACCCCUCGUCCCGGCUCCUCCUCGCCCCCACGCCCUCGUUCCGCCGCCGCUUCAUCCCGGCCAAGGCCACCCAGCGCGCCUCCCCGACCCUCAUCUCCGCCGCGCGCCGCCUCCUCGCAGCCGCGCUCCUCGACGACCCCGCCAACGCCUUCUUCGCCCUCGUGUCCCAGCACUGCGUCCCCCUCCGCCCCUUCCCCUCCCUCUACCGCGCCCUCCUCUCCGACCCCCCCGCCGCCGCCGGCCGCCGCCGCCACCACCGCAGCUUCAUCGAGAUCCUCUCCGGCGAGCCCGGCCUCUGGGACCGCUACGUCGCCCGCGGCGACGCCGUCAUGCUCCCCGAGGUCCCCUUCCACCGCUUCCGCGUCGGCUCCCAGUUCUUCGUCCUCGCCCGCCGCCACGCCGUGCUCGUCGUCCGCGACCGCCGCCUCUGGAAGAAGUUCCGCCUCCCCUGCCUGCGCUCCAUGAAGGACUCCUGCUACCCCGAGGAGCACUACUUCCCCACCUUGCUCGACAUGCAGGACCCCCAGGGGUGCACGCGUUAUACUCUCACUAGAGUGAAUUGGACCGACAGCGUCGGCGGCCACCCCCAUACCUACCGCCCCUGGGAGAUCUCCGGCGAUCUCAUUCACGAGCUCAGGAGGUCGAAUUCGACCUACUCGUAUAUGUUCGCGCGGAAGUUCUCGCCCGACUGCCUCGACCCUCUUCUUGCGAUUGCCGAUUCCGUCAUCUUCCGGGAUUAGUUCGCCCCUCUCUCGGCUACUUUUGGUUGUAGAUUUUGUGGUGGGUAAUCUUGCCUAGACGAAUCAAUGAGGUAUGAACUGCAAACCAAUUCGCCAUUUCUUUUUUGUUGGUUAUGCAUUCUAUGCAUGGAUUGUUACUAAAACAGAUAACAAAUGUGGGAUCUUUAGUGUUGGCUUAGCACCUUGUCGAUCUUGUAUGUAUAAAGUGUCUAUAUCAUUUGAUUUGACGUUUCAUUGAGGAAAUUUUCCUCUUUGAUUAUCUCUAUUUGGAGUUCACAUUACUUAAGAAAUAAUGGGUUUCAUCUUUUACUGCUGAAGAAACCUUCCCAAAGAUCUUAUUUUUGGACUUCUCAAGCCCUGUUCUAGCGAAUUGGAUGAACUUAAUUGGGAAAAGACUUAGAUAGCCCAUGAUGGAUGCUCCCGAUAGUGGGAAUUGAUCUGUGUCGUCAUUAAUUUUUUGUCUGUUGAUGAAUUAAUCGAUCUUAGUACACUAGCAAUGGAGGCGCGAACUAUUUGGAGCUAUUCUCAUUUGAUAUUUAGGAGGAAUAAAGCACUAAGAAGGCAUCAGACCUAUUGACUUGUUGUAGCUUCUCUAGAAACUCAAUCAGAGAGUGGAUACAAUAAUUAACAUUCUUUUUGUAUAAUGUGAGUUUUGUUGGAAAAUCUCAGAGAAAUCUCUCUUUUCUAUAAGUUGAUAUAUUGACCCAACUUCGUAGUACAUGGUUUAGAUUCGUAUUCCUGAAGCUUUCUUGUUACUUUUUUUUUGCCGGUGACCAUCUUCAACAAAUGUAAUGUGUCGCCACGUGGCAAUAUUUCACUUAAAGGAGAAUUAGAUUAUUAAAGAAGUUUUCAAACAGAAAUUAUAAAAAGCAGAAGAUAGGAUGAGUCAUAGCUGUUGGUUGAAUCAAUAAAUUCUUUGAGUAGAUGAGGGAGGAAAUCACACAAUAUUAUAAAGAAAUCAAUCUAGAAGAUUCUGAAGAGGUAUCAAAGAGAUUCAAGUGAAUAAAAAGAAAAAGAGAGGGAGAAUUAAGAAGAUAAGAAAUAAUGAAUUUACUUUUUACACCAGUUUUCUAAUGGAGAAUGUGUAAUAGAAAGAAGUGUUUACUGAGGGUUGGUUGAUCAAUCUUUCUUUCACUCUUAUCUAUAUUUGUACGCUAAUAGUCAUUCUCAAACACCUUAUUCAUUCGCCUCUUUUUAACCAUCGUAAAACUUAAAUUCGCAAUGUCGUCACUGUCUAGAUGAAAAUACAGCAAGAACAGUUCUCCUAUAGUGUCAUGUAAGGCUGUAACCCCAGGUUUCUGAUAGAGAACAGCUAUACCUUCAAAUUUUAUAUGAUUACAGCUCACAUGUUACUAUCCAAACAAAGCUGGUUUCCUCCUAUCAUAACAUAACUUUUGUUGGUUUUGUAGCUUCUUACCCUCUUUGUUUCUGCCCUUUUAAGUACUUGUAAAUUGUAUAUUACCUUACAGUAAGUUCAGCACAUAACCUCUUCUCUUCUCUCCUCUUGCUAACAUAGCCACUUAGCUGCUCCCUUUAGUAGAUUAUGCUUGUUUAUUACUAUUUCUAUUACUUGUGUUCUUUAAACCUAGAAUGGUUUUGUCAAUGCAUUUCUAAUGAAGGAUCAUUUAUUUAUGUUAACUUCUUUUUUUUUUUUUAAUUUCCUUGCAGGUUUUCUGAGGUGAGGAACUGGCACAAGCCUAUUCAUCUCUGCCCCUUAUGUUCGAUCAGCUGCGAUGAAUUUUCUUCUCUUUCAGAUCUAAAAAAGGUGGUUCUGUUUGGAGAGUAAGGAAAUCCCUGAUGAGUGUUGUUAUUAUGUGAGAUAAGUGAGUUUUUAGAGAGAGAGAGAGAGAGAGAGAGCCAAAAAGGGUAAAAGCUCUUAGGAAAAGCAGUAGGUGUGGGAAUGAACAUCCUAUGUAUAAGAUGAAGGCAAGCUAUCAAUACAUAAGGUGAUGUUUAUAGUUAAGUGAAGGGUACUUGUCAAUCUUCUUUAUUGUGGGUUGUGCUUUAAUACAUAUAAAAAUAAGGUAACCUUCAAUUAACCUCACUGUAGACUGUAGUUUAGCGCAUUUCAUUUUACCACUCUGUGGUUUAAAAAAUUGUACUAAAUUAUCAUAUGAUUUAGCAUGUUUUUACUUCAUCAUUCUGUAAUUCAGAAAGUUAUACUUAACUAUCCUGCGAUUUUAUUUUUAAUUUUACUAAAGAACUUAACGUAAAACAGUGUGUCAUUCUAUAGGUUUUUCUAAAAAAAUUACUUUGUGAUCUGAUGUGACGGCAUGUUUGUUCAGUGAUACAAAAAUAAAAUCAAAGAGUAGUUAAAUAUAAUUUUUUAAAUUAUCGGAUGAUAAAAUAAAAAUGCGCUAAACCGUAAGAGAGCCAUAUUCAAGUUUACCUAUGAAAUUAUGUAGUUUGUGAAAUAAUAUAGGUGGAAAGUAUUAUGGAGUUGGGAAGAGUAAAAUAAAAGUGGGAGAAUUUUUCUUUUUGCUGCACUUGAGGCUAGGAGGGUUCUUACUUUUCCUUUUGCCCCUUUUUAUAUUUUACCUUUUUUUUUUUUUUUUUUUUUUAUCUUACAUUUUGACUUUUGCAAUUUUCAUUGAAUGUAUAUCAUAAAAAAAUAAAUAAAUAUGAAUAAAAUUUAUCUAAUUUAUAGACUAUUUUGAUUCGAUCACUUCCUUCCAAACUUUCGAUUUUAAUACGUGACUUUAAAUCAUUUGGUGGUUUUUUUAAUGCAAAAUUUAAGUAAAUUAUUUACUUUAAUAAAUUUUAUAAAAUAAUAUUAAUUAAAUUUGUAAAGAUAAAUAACAUAUUUAAAUAUUAAAGCUAAAGAGCCAUUAACUGGUUCAGACUUCAGAUCAAACAAAUUAAAGUUUUUAAAAAUUAGAGAGUUAAAUUAAAAUGUGCAAUACUUGAGGUAGGUUUUAUACACUAUUAGGGUUUAGGGUUUACCUAAAAAUAAAAAAAAAAAAAUAGUGCUUACUGAGUUUUAUAUAUUUUGUCUACAUAUUUUUAUAUGUAAAAGAGUAUUGUCACAUCAUUAUGUCUUGUUCUUUUUUUUUUUCUUUUUUAAAAAAAAACUAAAAUAUAGUUUUGAUGUUUGUUUUGUCUCUUUUCCUAUUCUAUGGUGCUCAAUCUCAUCACUCAUGGUCCAAAAAGCAGCUUUUCUUUAUACCAGAUAACAAUAUUUUUAUUUUUGGGCCCUUUUCUCUUGCUUUUUGACUUGGCUUUUUCCCAAAUCUUUUUUUUUUUUUUUUCUCCCUAUACUCUUAUAUACUUUGUUACAUGUUAAUAAUAAAGGACAAAGUUGAGAGGAAAGAUGACCAACUUGACCAACUGACCCCACCACACUCCCUUUAUUAAGGGUUGGUGAUGCUGCUUUCCCACUUAAAUAGCAUUUGGGAUGCUGUACACACUCCUAAUUAUUAUCAAUUUAAUGAUCACAGCCCUUGGUUCGUGGGUCCCACACUCAACAACAGGAGUUAGGCCCUGUUUGGCCUAGCUUCUUGAGAAGUGAUUUCUGUAAAAAUAAUUUUAGUUUGGAGAAUUAAUUUUAGUGAAAAGCUGUAGAGCGUUUAGUUAAAUUUAGAAAAAAAAUAAUUCUUCUAAAGUGAUUUUAUAAAGCUAUUUGGCAAAAAAAUUUAGAUUUUGGAUAUAUUAAUAUUUUUACUAAAUUUUAUUUUUAAAAUAUUUUAAAUUUUAAAUUUUAAUUAAAAAUUUAAAUUUGAAUUAAAAGUAUAAUUUUUUAAUUUCAAACUUGUACAAAAAUAAAUUUGAAAUUUCAAAAUUUUAAAUUUAAAACUUGAAUUUUUAAAUCUAAAUUUCAAAUUUCAAAUUUCAAAUUUCAAAUUUAAAAUUUCAAAUUUUAAAAUUUUAAAAUUUUAAAUUAAAAAUUAAAAUUAAAAUUUCAAAUUUAAAAUUUAAAACUUAAAAUUUAAAAUUUGAAUUUUGAAAAUUAAAAUUAAAAUUAAAAUCUAAAAUUUAAAAUUUAAAAUUUUGAAAUUGAAAAUUAAAAUUAAAUUAAAAUUUUGAAUUUUCAAAUUAAAAUUUAAAUUUUAAAUUUUAAAUUUGAAAAUUGAAUUUAAAAUUUAAAAUUUAAAAAUUUAAAAUUUAAAUUCAAAAUCAAAUUUUAAAAUUCAAAUUUAAAUUUUUUAUUUGAAAUUUAGAACUAAAAUUAAAAUUUUAAAUGUAAGUUUUAAAAUCUGAAAAUACCAAAAUUUAAAUUUUAUCUUAAAAUAUUAAAAUAUAAUUUUUGAUUUUUAAAAUUUAAAAUUUGAGAUUUGAAAUUUUAAAAUUCAAGAUCUAAAUUUUAAAUUUUAAAUUUGAAAAGUUGUGAUUUAAAAAUUCAAAUAUGAAUUUAAAGUUUCAAAAUUUAAAUUUAAUGUUAAAUUUAUACUUUGAAUCUAAAAUAAAAAUAAAAUUUAGAAGUUUGAGUUCAAAAUCAGAAUCAGCUUUGGAGAAGCAGCUUUUUUCUGUUUCUGAUUCUGGAGACUUCAAAAUCAGUUUUUUGAUUCUAAAAAGUAGAAUCAGAUUUUCAGAAUGUCAUUCCCAAACGCUUUACUGAGCUCAAAAGUGAUUUUGAGCUUAGAAUCACUUUUAAAUAACUAGGCAAAACACCCCCUUACUAGAGGGUAAGAGAUUUUUUUUUAAAAUCAUUACUACGACACCUGUUUUAUAUAAGAAUAACGAUAUUCAACUAAAAAAACGUCAUUUGAGUAGAAAAUUAUUAUGUUAGAUCAUUUACGAUCUCAAAUGGUUGAGUUGAACUGAUUUCGCAUAAAUUCAAUAUGAUGUGUCACAAGAAAGACUUUCUUGUAUAAAUAUAAUACAGCGAUCAACUAAUCAAGAGCUUUGAUUAGUCGCAGUAACCAGAAAAGUACGAGACAGGGACUUCGCGGGCUCUGAUCAUUUGAAGCACCUAUUUUUCAAUAUCACAUCAAUUUGCUUCGUAGUUAGUUAAUUCGGAUUCGGCAGAAAUUCGGUACGAAUAUAAUACGUAUAAAAUUCGUUUUUUAAUUUUUAAAUUCGUUGAAAAAUUCGGCUUAAAAAACGGAUUCGAUAUAGAAUAUAAAAUAUAAGAUAUAAAAUAUAAAAUAAUUUAUAUUUAAAAAUAAAAUUAUAAGUUUUUUAUUCAUAUUUUUUUAAUAAUUCGGCAAUAAUUCGCGAAUCUUUCGAAAAAAUUCGUAAACGGACCGUUUAAUUCGGAUUUUCAAUAAUUCGCGAAUAACUCGCGAAUAAUUCGUGAAUUUACUAACUAGGGUUUGGUUUCAACGACUAAUUUCUUUUGAAAAAUCUUAUUCUAAAUUUUAUGAAAAAUUAGUAUUUUUGAUUUUCAAAAAAAUGAAAAGCAGAGACAUCAAUUUGUCAUAAAAUUUAGAAAACAAAUUUUCAAAAAUACUAGUAUUUUUUAAAAAAACAAAUAACUAAACGAAUGAAAAGCCGAAAAAAAAAUUCAUAAAAAUUUUUUUACUUGAAAUAUUUUUUCACGUUUUUUUUUUCGAUGAAUCAAACACCCUAAGCCAAACAUCUCCAAAACUCUCUCGGUCUCAAAGGCCAGGCCCAAAUUGGGCCCAUUUUGGAGAGUAUAUCAAAGCCCACAGAGGCCCAUCAAUCGACUCAAUAAGUCAAAUGGGCUAAAUAAUAAUAUGAUGGGACUAAUAUGACAGAUAUUUUUUAAUAAAGUAUAAUAAAAUAAAUAAAUUUGUUUUUUUAAUAAAAUUUAAAUAUUUAUUAUAAAUUUUUGAAUAAAUAAAGUGUAUAAAUUUAUAGAAAUUUAAAAUAAUUGUGACUGCGUAUUGCAUAUGCGCGUUAAGUAUAUAUAUAUAUAUAUAUAUAUAUAUAUAUAUAUAUAUAUAAAAUAAUUGAGUUAGAAUACUUUUACAAGUAUUACCCCUAUGAUGCUAUUAGGUUUUUAGCCAUUGGAUUUACUCCUUGAUUACUAAUAGCCCUUGGAUCAAACACUAUUCCACCUACUACCACCUACCACCACCUACUACCAUCAUCUCAACCCACAUUCUCUCCAUCCAAUGACUAAAAAUUCAAAAGCACCACUCACAUUAAUACUUUAUAAGUAUUCUAGCUCAACUCUCUUCUCUCUCUUAUAUAUAUAUAUAUAUAUAUAUAUAUAUAUAUAUAUAUAUAGUGAGCUGUUAUGCUUAUGGAAGCAUAGAGCCCUCCGUGCUUCCAAGUUAUAUUUCGAUGUUCGAUUUCGAAUCGAUGAUCGGCUUCGUUAGAGUUGAUCUAGAGUAUUUGAAGUACCUAGAAAAUAAAUUUUGUGAUUUUUUGAUGAUCAUUUGCUAGUGAUCGAAGGAGCUCAAAAUCAAUAAUUUUAAUGGCCGUGUGAGUCGAUUGCAAGUUUAACGGUACAGAAAUAUCCAAAUCACAUGAAAUUUGAUAGAAAAUUCUUUAUACCAUAUAAACAAGAUCAUAACUUUAUCUAAAAUUUUAAUGUUAUGUCAUCGUAUUUUGUAAGAUUUUUAUUUUCAGCCGUUGAUUUUGAGCCCACUUCGAUCACUAGGCAAAUGAUAUCGAAAAAUCACUAAAUUUAUUUUCUAGAUAUUUCAAAUACUCUAGAUCAAGUCUAACGGAGCGAUCGUCGAUUCGAAAGUCCAACAUCGAAAACAAAGUGAAGAACGGAGCCCUCCGUGCUUUCCAUAAGCAUCCUAGCCGCACUCUAUAUAUAUAUAUAUAUAUAUAUAUAUAUAUAUAUAUAAUCCAAUACAUAAUUUUUUUUUUUUUUUUUUGCGUGGUGUAUACACUCAGGUCCACCUUCCUCUCUCUAAAAUCUCUCCCUAACCUCGUCUUCAUAUCUCUUCUCCUCCGACUCCGAUCUCUGCGCUAGGUUUCCCACUCGGUUCUCCCUCCGCCCCCCACACCCACCCGUCUCCUCGACCUCUCGAUCGAGCGAUCGGAGGCGAAAUUAGGGCACUGAUCUCGUCUCCCACCACCGUUUUCGCGAUCGUCGUCUCGAGGGAUUCGGCUAGGGUUUCCGGGGCGCCGCCGCGGCGAAGAAGAUGUUCGGGAGGGCGCCGAAGCGGGGCGACAACUCCAAGUACUACGAGAUCCUCGGCGUCCCCAAGAGCGCGUCGCAGGACGAUCUCAAGAAGGCCUACCGCAAGGCCGCGAUCAAGAACCACCCCGACAAGGGCGGGGACCCCGAGAAGGUACGUCUCUCUCUUUGGAUCUUCGUGUGUAUGAAGCAAUCGCCCUUUGAUUUGAUGUUUAGGAUCAUUCUUAGGGUUCGCUUGUGUGAUCUAAACUCCGUAGAUCCGCGAGUUGUGGUUGAGUCGAUCUGAUUGCUAAAGUUUGAUUAAUUAUGGCGGUUUUGGUUUAAUUUCCACAUGCUGAUUUGUUCUGAAUAUUCGAUCCAAGAUUGAUCUGGAUGUUUUGCAAAAUGGGAGCUUUGAACAUUUCUGGUAGUGAUAUGCGCUCCUAUGAUGUUCUUAUUCAACUAUUUGCUUACAAUAUUGAUGUAAUAAUUAGCAAUCAUUGAAUUAUUCCAUUGCGUGUGAUUCUUCGAGGUUUUCUUCUCGUAAUUUCGAAUCUUUCAAUUUCAUAUAACUGUACAUAGCGUAAUUGUGUUGUAACUUUUAAGUUCUAUUUAGUUCGUGAACCAUAACGCUUGUGGACUUGUUUAUUCUACAUUUAAGAUAUAGCUGGUGAUGGGAAAAGAAGGAAAAAGGAAAAUGAGAGAGAACAAGAAAAUUAAAGAGAAGGGAAGAAAAGGAAAUGAAUUUGCCAUCUUGUAUGGAGUGGCACAGAUAAAUACAGAGAAAACCAACAUAAACAUAAAAAACAUGGACCAAACUUCACCCCAGUAAUUAUUCUUAAAUUAGGUAGAUUCAACCUAGACUGUAUUUUGGAUCCAGAAUACAAAACUGUGUCAAUUGAGACCAGCUAAAAUCAAAUACAUACUUAAUUGGGCACUAAUGCAAUUUGACAUAAGUUUUCGUUAACUAUCAACUAGACUCCAUUGGCAUACUGCUAUUACUUUCCUGUACUUUUUCAUGAUCGAUAUAAUGGAGAUUUUGCUCCUCUAACUAUGCGCGUAGUCAAGUUCGCAUUUUGUGGUGGCCAUUAAGAUUGUACCUUUAUCUUUUGCAGUUCAAGGAGUUAGCCCAGGCUUAUGAGGUUCUAAGUGAUCCUGAGAAGCGUGAGAUCUACGAUCAAUAUGGUGAGGAUGCCUUAAAGGAAGGAAUGGGUGCUGGAGGAGGCACGCAUGACCCAUUCGAUAUUUUCCAAUCAUUUUUCGGUGGAAGCUCCUUUGGAGGUAAGCAUUAUACUCGUGCCAUAUCAUAGGAGAGAAAUUCUAUGUAAUUUGUGAUGUUUUCCUGACUUCCAUUACUAUUUUUGGAUAUCAGCUAGUAGUAGCAGCAGGGGGCGAAGGCAGAGGAGGGGAGAAGAUGUAGUCCAUCCCCUUAAAGUUUCUCUGGAGGACCUUUACAAUGGGACAUCAAAGAAGCUCUCUCUUUCACGAAAUGUCAUUUGCUCCAAAUGCAAGGGGUUAGUUGUUCCUCCUUUCGUAUUGGAUGGCUGUUUCUAUUUGGGAAUUUUACAUAUAUUCCUCGACAAAUCAUCUAUUUACAUACAUAUUCCUUUAGUAUCUCCAUUUUCAAUUAUAUGUCCCUCAAAAGUAUGUUUUUUUUUUUAAAAUAAUAAUGAUACUAAACCUAUGACUUAUCUUAAAUUGGGGAGUUAUUCAUCUCAUGGGGAGAAGUUGGCUUUCUGUCAGAUUUUUUUUUUCUUUUAUUUGAAAAAAGGCAUAAUUGUGAGCAGAGGAAUGAAAUAUAAAUUAAGUAUUUUGAAGGAGAGCAAUGGAAAUUUAGAUUUUGUAGGGAUAAGUAUGAAAUUUGAUAAUUUUGAUAUAUGUAGGUACUAUGCAUUUAUUCAUGUACGAGCAUUUUGUUUUAUCUAACUUCUCCCUAUUGAAAUGGCAGUAAGGGCACGAAAUCUGGGGCUUCCAUGAAAUGCGCCGGCUGCCGAGGUUCUGGUAUGAAGGUCACUAUCCGCCAGCUGGGGAUGGGCAUGAUUCAACAGAUGCAGCACCCGUGCAACGAGUGCAAGGGCACUGGGGAGACCAUAAGUGAGAAAGAUCGAUGCCCGCAGUGCAAGGGCGAGAAGGUCGUUCAGGAGAAGAAGGUCCUCAAGGUUGUGGUCGAGAAGGGAAUGCAGAACAGCCAGAAGAUUACCUUCCCUGGGGAGGCAGACGAGGCGGUAUGCUUUUCUUAUUGACUUUUUGCAUCUGUACCCCUCAAAAUACACGAAUGUGUCUAUGCUGACCAUGAUUGCUUAAACGAUCCUGCACUCGAGUUCGCAAACACAGGAUGGUAGGAUUUUAAAGGAACCUCAGAAAGUGACUGUGGUUGUGUUUUUAUUGAGCAUUAUAUUCGCAAAAAGCUCAUUCUACUUCUUACUUGAAGUCCUCGCGAAUCACGACCGAAUAACUCAUAUUUGUGGAUAUUGGCAGCCUGAUACAAUCACAGGAGACAUCGUGUUCGUCGUCCAACAGAAGGACCACCCCAAGUUCAAGAGGAAGGGCGACGAUCUCUUUGUUGAGCACACUUUAUCCCUCGCUGAGGCUCUUUGUGGUUUCCAGUUCGUUUUGACUCAUUUGGACAACAGGCAGCUACUCAUCAAAUCAAACCCCGGUGAAGUCGUCAAGCCCGGUAUUCCUUCUAAAACCAUAAAACCUCUCUCUCUCUCUCUCUCUUUUUAAUGAAAGUCUUAUCAAUUCGUCGAAACCAUCCCUCUGAGCCAUAUAACAUAUUGUUCUAAUUAUUUUCAGAUCAAUUCAAGGCGAUAAACGACGAAGGCAUGCCGAUACACGGUAGGCCGUUCAUGAAGGGAAAGCUCUACAUCCACUUCACAGUGGACUUCCCCGAGGCGCUGACCCAAGAGCAGGUCAAAGCACUCGAGCCCGUGCUCCCGCCGCGGUCCACGUCCGCUCUAACGGACAUGGAGGUGGACGAGUGCGAGGAGACUACGCUGCAUGAUGUGGACAUCGAGGAGGAGAUGCGGAGGAAGCAGGCCCAGGCUCAGGAGGCCUACGAGGAGGACGAUGAUGCGUAUGGCGCGGCCCAGAGUGUGCGGUGCGCGCAGCAAUGAGGCGCGCGGCCACGAUGCCUUCUAGGUGAGGAAUUCAAUCAACACAGUAAUUUAUUGGGUACAUGGAAGACUUCCUUUUUCAGUUUGGUUGUUAUAAUUUGGUUUUUUUUUUUGCGGCAUAUUUUAACGUUUCAAUGGUGGAUAACAAGUUGACUAUAAUAUUGCUCUUGAGUUUGAGAUUUAAAUUACCGUAGAAGAAGCUUUUCUUUUGUUGGUAAGAAAGCUUGGAAAUUUUCUUUCUAAGUUAUUUUUGCUGGUUGAGAUGUAUUAAUACUUUUAAAACUACCACUUUGUUUACUUUCUCGACGUCGUUUCUACCAAUAGGGCAUCCAAAUCAAUAAUCGGCGCUAUUAAAAUCAUUUGCUUGAUCUUCAUGUGGUAUUAAUAUAGGAUAUUUAUACUUUUUAGGUUCUAAGUUUCAGAGUUUUUUUUUUAAAUCAUCUUUAGGUGGUUUAAAAAUUAACAGUUUUUAAUGGCUAGUAUGGAAGAUAGAUUUGACAUUAAUUGGAUCGCUAGAUGGAUUAUAUUUUAGAAAUGUGAAAAUUUGACUUCUACAAAAAUCUAAAUAAUUUAGAUUGUAUUCAACGAAGUCGAUAGUUGAUUCAGAUAUGGAUAGCAUAGGUCAUAUUUAAUGAAAUAAAUUGUUGAUUCCGAUGUUUUAUUGUUGAAAAUUAUGUGGAAGUGGUUCCGUUUACUUACAGAGUAUUUGUGCUUUACUCUUGUUUAGGGAAUGGAUAAUGAUAUAGUGGGGAUCUAUUCAUUUUUUGGGAAUUUAUUGAUUUGCAAAUUAACGUAACUGGGUAGAGCAUUACUCUUUUAUAAGUACUCUCUUUUCUAUUCAUAUUAUGUACAACUCGAUGAGUCAUACUAUCAUGUCAUGUAAUGCACUCUUCAUUUUUAUAAGUAAUGAGCAAUUUUAGAUUAACCAAAAUUUUAACAGGAAUGAGUUGGCAGGGUCCUAUAUAAAGUUAAAGAGUCUCAAUAAUAUAAUUGGUAAUUUAAGACAUUCUAUUCGAAUUUACAACGAAUCUUUCUAUUGAGUGUAAUUAAUCUUAUUUACCAACUCAAAUUGUUUAAAACCGUGCACUAAAAUUCAAAAUUCGGUGUGUAUUUUCCAGGAACUGGAAUUGAAACAAUUUAAAAAUGUACGGAGAAAGCUAGGGAACACAAAAGUGCAGGGCAGGUCCAGGUGAUUUGAUUUCGCUUCUCUUCCGUGAGCAUCAGAAAAAUCCAAUGCAUAAAGAAGCAAAUUUUUUUACAAAAAUAACCAUAUAAAAUUUUAUAAUUUACGAAAUAAUUCUAUCAAAGUUUGUAUUUGGCAAAUCAACUCUCGAAACGCGAUAAUCAUUCACCAAGGUCUUUUAAAUAAUUCUAUCAAAUUUGUAUUUGGCAAAUUAACUCUCGAAACGCGAUAAUCAUUCACCAAGGUCUUUUAAAGGGGGGUGAAUCAUUCACCAAAAAAAUGAGGUGGUUAAAAUUGUUUGUAAAUUAUACGGAAAAUACGUAGAUUAUGUGAAAAAUGAAAAAAAAGUGAGAUUGUUAGUAUUAUGUGUAGAAUAUUAAAAUUUUUGUUUGAUUGUUAGAAUUAUAUGGAUAGAUUAUUAAUUUUUUUUUUAUUGUUAGGAUUAUAUGAAUAUAUUAUUAGGAUCUUUUUUAUUGUUAGAAUUGUGUAAAUAAAUUAUCAGAAUUUUCAGGUUAUUAAGAUUAUAUGUAAUUUGUUGAAAUAUUUAUAUGUUUCUUAGUAUUAUAGAAAGAAAUAAGUGAAAGACGGUGAAUGAUUCACCGCAUUUCUAACCAUACACUGUCUUUAAAAGAUUAAAUUUUUAAAUAUAAUUUUGACAAAAUCAUUUCACAAAUAAUAAAAUUUUUUUAAAAAAAUCUUAAGAAGGCAGUUACGUUCUUUGGAACGAAAAAGAAACCGUUUUGUUUCCCUCCCCCCAUUUCCUCCAUCUUCUGCGAGUGCAACAAGAAGCGUCGCACGGACGGAUGACAAUGGCCGUCACCAGCGUGCACACGAUCCAAACUGCUUUUCUCGUCACCAUCUUCCUCCUCAUCCGACCCUCCCUCGCCCACAAUCACAUCGUCGGCGGCUCCAUCUGGUCGAUCCCCCUCGCCGCCGACUUGUACGGUAACUGGGCCCACAACAUAUCGUUCGAGGUCGGGGAUACUCUAGGUAUUAUUUAGCCCCUAAUGCUAUAGAUUAGUAUUAUCAUCUAAUAAAGGUAAAGCUUCUGCAAAAGUGUUACUCUCGACUUCUAAAAUUAUUGUAUUAACCUAUUUUGUUCGUGAGAUUUCAGUGUUCAGAUUCGAGAUGGGACUUUACGAUGUAGUCGAGGUCUCACAGAGCGAGUUCGAGCAUUGCACGGCCGAGAAGCCCUUUAGAGCUUUCCUCGUCGGACCGGCGGAGCUUCAUCUCGACGAAGGAGGCAUGAGAUACUUUAUCUGCAGCGUCGGGAACUACUGCUUUCUCGGGAUGAAGCUCCCCGUCUCCGUGCAGAGUCUGCAGCCGCCGCCCCCCGGAGGUUCUUCCUCCCCAAUUCCGUCGCCGGUGCCCUAGAAUAUUCAUCUGCCUUUUGACGUAUGUUCUUGGAUAUUGUAAACUCACUCCCAAAGUUGGGAUUUGCCUCUGCAAUUUUUACUUCAACACUGUAACUCCUCCUCCCUCAACCACCUACCCCACCCCCACCCCUUCCUUUUUAACAUAUAUAUAAUAUUGCACUUUAAUCAUGUACACCCCCCCCCCAAAUUAAAAACUGAAAUUUCAUACAAAAUUACCUUUCCAUCUCUCCACUCUAAAAUGACUCUCAUCUACAUUUACUUAAAAACAGGUCUAAAAGGAUGAUCACUAAAGGAGGCCCAAAUAAAGCCUUAAUUUGGGUUACCACAGGGAAGGCCCAUAGAUUGAUCUGGGCUUAAAGUCAAGGUCCAAGCCCAAACCUCCUUAGCAGGUUCAGGAACUAUUAAUGCUGCACAGGGUAAUCGAAACUACUAACCAAAUCCCCAUGGUGAUUUCUACAUAAAACUUUAUAAGGUUGCUUGCUCAAUUGCCCCUACAUCUAUUCGGGUAGGAAUCAACCUACACAAAAUACAAGCUACACACUCUUCAUCCAAAUAUUUAAGUCGAAAUUCGAAACUUAUCGAGUCCUAAAAUCAAAAUUAAAAUCAACUCCAGGAGCGAUUCACAACAUUCAGAAAAUUGUAUGUUUUCGGAAUUUAGGUAUCAAAGAAAAACUUAUAUUAAAAAUAAUAUAUUAGAUUGUACAGAACGAUAUUCAUAGGUUCUUUAAGCUUAUGACAGUUAAUAAAGAGACUUUCUAAAUGUUUCAGAUUUCAACAACAUCAGAACUUUCUCAUAUUCGAUUGCACACUUCUAUAAAAAAUAUAUAGCUACAGUAGUGUCAUUUAAUUCCUAAUUUAUGAAUUUACAUGAAAUAAGUAAAGGAAACAUAAAAAAAGGUUCUUAAAAAAAAGGUGAAGCAAUGAUAGAUACCUUAUCUUUAUCAUGUAAUUUUAUAAUAUGUUAUAAUGACGACUAAAUUAUCUUAAUAGCCAAAUCAAUUUUCAUAGGAAAAGGAAUAAUGGAAAAGCACCAAAUAGUAGCUUUCAUGAGCUUUAGUACUGCUGCUAUUGCCGCUACAUUUAUACUCUGAUAAUAUUUAGAACCCAGAAAGUACCAGAAAUAAAUGGAUUUGAUUGCUAUCAAACUCACUGGUUUCAUAUAAACUCCAUGCAACUUCAGAUUUACAACAAGGUGCAACAACUUUUGCAGAAUCAACCUCAUAAAAGUUCCUGUAAAUAAUGAAACAGAUGUAUAGGAAACAGAUAUGCACUGUCCAUAUGUCCUCAUUUUAGGGGUGAAAAUAUGUCAGAUGAUAAUCAUGAUAUCAAUCCGAUCAGGCUCCUGAAUACGAGCUUUGUCGAAUAUGGGUUUAUGUUUUCCUUAUCCGUCAUUGAAUCUGGAUGUGGUUAAUAGCAUCCCUAUCCAUAUCAAAAGAAGUAUGUAUAUGAUUAUGGUUUAACCACAGUCCGAUCCGUUUUCACCCUUAUAUUGUAUAGAAUAUGAAUAUAAGCAGACCCCUUCUUCUGUUUACUGUACAGUGCAUCUCAGAUCUAGAAAGAACUAUUAAGAAGAACCACAAAUGGCAAACCUAUACAAUAUUAAGUUGAUUUCUCAUUUAAACUCCCUAAUCUAACAUGCUAUUGUUUUAAGAAAACUUGCUCCAAAUUCCAUUAUAAUUUAAUCGCAUCUACCAAAAACAAGAAACAAAAAAUUAUAUGACAAUCCAUCAAAUCACAUCAAAUUUAAUAGAAGUUGCAAAGACAGAUGAAACCUGAACAUAAUUUUCUCAAAUUAAACAACACCUAAGUUGAGGGAUUCAAAUUAAAUAAAUAAAAUUCCGAAACUAUUUUUAAAAUGCUUUAUAGCCUUAAAGGUGGAGCAAUGCCCAUAGGUCACAUUUGUUCUCGUCCAGGAAAAGAGAAUGUGUAGGUACUCUCAUAUUUAGUACCACCUCCAAUCCAAAAUACUAGCCAUACCAUAGUAAAUACAUUUUUUCCAGAAUUUAAAAUUAAAUGCUUCUAGAAUAAGAAAAAAGAAUGAGAUAUACUAGAAAGAGCAAUAUUAUAAGCCUGGUAACAAGUAAUUGCUUGAUAUUACAAGCAAAUACUAAAAUAUGGUAACAAUAAUUCAGAGUUACAUGUUAAUUUUGGUUGACUGACAACAAUUUGCCCUACUUAUAUGCCAAUUCAGGCAAAGGUAGCCGCACCACUAUCACACAGAAACAUUUGAAACACUAUGAUACCGAUCACUAACAUACAGAGACAUUUAAAACACUAUGAUACCGAAUUAUAUAUAGGACAACUAUCAGCUAACUCCAGAAUUAAAAGCUUAAAUUACAUAAAAUGCUAAUAACUUAAAAUUUAAGCUUUAAGAGUCAGGAGGGGUUACCUUUGGCUGACACUGCCCAUCAUCACAGUUUGUGCCAUUUUCAGAGAAAAGCUCUCCAUCUUUCAUGUUCUCAGAAGAAACAUCUCCUUUGGGUUCAGCUACUGGAGGAAGCGCUUCUAAAUCAACUAGUUUGUUAUCUUCCCUCUUCCCCCUUUCUAUAAGAUCAUCACCAGUUUGGCAUUAAAGAUAAAUUCAAGAAGGUUGGAAAUUUUGAUAUUCAGUAAAAAUGCAGUAAAUUCAGGAAAGAUAUCAGUAUUAGAUCAGUUAAUACAGACAUGUAUAUAACAUAACAUAUAUACAAAUGAAACUUCUCAUGUAAUCAUUGUAUUUCCUUCCAUUUGUACAGUAAUAAUCUGAAAUAUAAUGAAUAAUUCUCUGAAAAUAUUAACUUACAAAAUUCUAGCAAUUUUUGAAUAAUAUAUCUAAUUAACAGUUUCUUUUUACUAUUUUGGUCAACAUUUACUAUUCUGGACAAUUAUUCAGCUAACAAAGUUUGUAAAGUAAUCAUGUAUGAGGCAAGAAAAAAAGGAGAUACUUGCAGUUAUGCUCUAAUACCUGUAUAUGGAACAGAUUCAGCAGGAUCGACCUUGCUGGUUUCUUUGGAUUCUCCAUCCUUGUCAGCACUCUCAGUUUUAUUUUCUGCAUUCUCCUUAUUCAUAUCCACUAAAUCAUGCUUGAUAGCAGUUUCAUUAACAGCUCUUUCUUUGUUGGCAAUUUCAGCUGCUUUCCUUUCCACAUCGGCAGAUGCUUCGGCUUUUGCAGCAGAGGCUUCUUCCUCAGCUCCUACAGUUUCAUUGGUUCCAUCUUCGUCAUCUUUUUUCUCUUUUGUUUCUUUUUUGGAGCUUGAUUUCCUCUCUCUUUUCUUAGGUUUCUCAGGUUCUGGGGUCUCUGUCGCCUUUACUUUCUCACUAAUUCUUGCCGAGCGCCUUGGUGUAUCACCUGUUUUAAAAGCCAUUUAGAGAGAGAGAGAGAGAUCUGAAACUGCAUACAGCAUACCAUAUAUGAUGGGUCAUUGGCCAACCAAGUAUUACCACAAUGGAUAAAAACAAACACAUUAAAGUUCUUUUUCGCCACCCUUUUCACGUAUAAAAUUUGGAAUUAUUACAAAUUUAGUGUCUGAAGAUUGAUCCAAAUUCAGUUUCAACCGCAGAGUGCCAAUCAAAACAAUUUAGUUUCUAAAUUUUGACUCCCAUGUUUAAUACUUUUCCUAAAAGUAUGUUUAACUAAGGAAAGCCCGGCUAUGCUGCUUAUGCAGCACCUUUUCAGAUAGGAUACCUACAAAACUCAAUAUCUACUCAUUACAAACUUCAGGGAUUAUGUUAUUAUAAUGAAAUUCUAAUGGAAAAGGCAAAUACAGAUCAAACUUCAGGGAUUAAAUUUGUAAUUACCCCAAAUUUGUGAACCAUUGAUCUAACUUAUCUAACAUAUCAUAUCUGAUUGGCCUGUGCUAUUUCCUAGGACCCUUCUAGAGAGGAUGCAAGAGAGAGGGAGAGAGAGAUUUUACCAGUCCCCCAGUCAAAUUCAGAUGAAGGUGGGGCACCAGGGUGCGCACGCAAGUACUGAUCCAAUUGUUUCUUGUUCUUAAUCUCUUCACCAGUUGGUGUGAUGAAAACUAUCUCAUUCCUUUUUGGUGUUCCACCCUUCUUGGGAAUGAACUAUAAACAACAAAAUGGCAUUAAUAUCAUUGUAGUAAUAUAAGAAUCUGAACAACGUAAGCAAGAUAACCUAAUAAACUGACGGUAACAUUUUUCAUGAUGUACACCAAAGAAGGAAAGAUAUGACCUUUUCACAGAGAAUUAUGACAUUAGAAUACCAUAGAAAAGAAUUUUAUCGUCAUUAACAGUGUUAAAAAUGAUGAUGAAAAAAUAUAAUAAUUUCCUUUUUUCUCAGCUUGUUCUCAUGUUGGCCCAACUACCUACACAGAAAAGGAAAUACCAGUACAUUCAGGGUCUCUAUGCAUGAAGUAUAAAAAGUGAAUGCUACCAUUAAAUCAACUAAAGAGACAACUUGUAACUGAAACAUGAAAAAUAUUCUCCAAGAACAUAAAUAUAAUAUCAAAAUAUCCUUAAAAGCAUUUCUAGCAUGGAUUUAAUAAGAAAAUUAUUCAUAACAGAAGAAAAUUGAAGUAUUAUAAAAUGUACACGAAUAAGAUAAGCUGUAAAAGGCCGUGCACAUGUAAGUUAUCAUUUACUCUACAAUAUUUACUGGGCAGAAUUUAAAGCAAAAAUAAUCACUAUAGCGGCUUUAGUAAAACUGCAUUCCAUUUGAAAAUGGAUGUCAACAUUGAAAGAAGCGCAUACCCUCAUGGGUUCUAUUGAUGAUGUUAUAUAGUACAAGAGAUGAGUCUAAUAUAGUAACAAUGCCUAAUAUAGAAACAAUAUAACUAGGCAUCUCAUAUCAUAUAAUCCUACUCUAAAUAUGUCGCAAUACAUAGUAUCCUAAUAUAGCAUGAGAUACUAAAUAUGUCGUAACAAACAUUAAAGAUGCCGGAGGUAACAACGGCAGAUAAGCAUUUCUCACGAUGCUAUUUGUUCUCAGACUAAACAGCCAAUAAAGUAUUAAGCACGUCUGUGCAUGUUUCAAAGGCUGCUAUAUAAUGUACAACAAUAUACUAAAUAGUUCAUACCACAUGCUGAUUGGCCAUCAACAUGAAUUUUGUCACGGCACAGCACAUGGCGACACUUGACACAUUUGGCAUGAAUCAUCUAUGAAGGCCCUUUUAAAUGUUGGCCCUUUUAAAUGUUGGCGUGCAUCAGCACAUAGCACCGUAGGCACAUUCGCGUUGUGCCAACCAUAUCAACCAGAAUUACAAUCUUGAAUUUAGAAUAUCAACUUAAUGUUACAUUUCAGCUCGGGCUUAAACAAUGCUAGUUUGAACUUUUCUUAUUGGUGGUUUCAUGUUUCGGUUAUCGAUGUUGGAUGAAAAUUCUCCUGAUUUUCAAAAACAGGAUUUGGAAACCACAAUAACAUUUUGGUUAGGUCCCUAGCCAAAAGAUUACUUUCCAGGGUUUGCCUUGAUCUGCUUCAAAUCGGUAUUUUUCACAAAAAAUUCAAAAUAACUGAAAAGAAAAGAUUUGAACAAAUGUUUACAUUAUGAUUAUAGUUAAUCUCAACUCCCUAAAUAUAUGGUAUUAUUGAAAUUUAGAUUUUUCUAAAUACUUGGUUGAAUACAUUAUCUAGAAAUUAUCUACACCUGAUAUGGCUUGCUAUUUUUGGUCUCUACAUCUGUUUUGAGGAAAAAAAUAAUUUUGGCCUCUACAUCUGUUUUAAGAAAAAAUAAUAAUUUUACAUAAACUACCCUUGGUACAUUGGAUAAGCUCCAAAUUAAAGAUAGCUGCUAGAUUGAUGUCAUAUACCAGAGUUGCAGGCAUUCUCGAGUAUAGAAAUGUAGAUAAUCGCUCUCCUACUACUUCUAGACGCUCAAAAUGUCGCAUUCUAAAGCUGCAGUCAUUUUCUACACAAAGGUUGUAGAGAUAUUGCCCCCUUUCCGCUCUCUUUUCAGCAGAACUUAAGGAACUUCUUAAUCCUUAUAGUAAGACAUACUACAGAGAACUGAACGCAUCCUUCCCUUAUAAUCCUCAUUAUUUGAUUAGUUGCACGGUUUUCUUCAUUUAAAAUUUAUGCCAUUUUAAGGUGGGGAUGAUGAUUGAUUUAUAGUAUAGCUUCAAAUGAAGGAUCAUCAAUUCCUUCCCAUAGCAAUUCUGUAAGAACAUCCUUAUAGUUAACAACAUGUUUGGACUCGGUAGUUGUCAAAGACAUAAGAGCAAGAGAAUAUGGAAUCUAAAAAGUUGGCAAGAAAGCUCAAACUUAAAUGAAAAUUACAAGUAGACCAAAAAUUCCUUUCCCUCGUGUUCUCACAUCACGUGGCUAGAGGAGACUACGUUCCAACCAGGUAAGUUUAACAAACAUCAGAAAGCCUGAGUUAUAUUAAUAUUAUUUAUUUGUUUAAUCAAAUAUGUUGAUUAUAGAAACUAUUAAUGUGUGGUACAAACAUUUAAAACCCUUCAAUAUAUAGACCUGAUGUUUCCUUUAAAACCUCAAGCACAUAAUUCAGUACCCCAUAUCUUGGUGUUUGGUCAUACAAAAUAGAUUCUAGAGUCGAAUCCUGUUCUUGGAACAACCAGAUUGCGUAGUAGGCCUGACGGACCACACAAACUAAAUUGAUUCAGUUAAGAAUCUAGAGAACAAAUAUAUCAGCUUGAGAAGCACUUUUAAAAAAAAAAUAUUCGUGUCUACCCUCCAUGACAGCAUAUAAUAAGAAAUUAAGCACAAAAACAAAUGCGAAAGGUGCAUGAUAUUCAUAAAAGCUAGAGAAACAUGGUUACUAGAUAAAUUCAAACCACUAAAACCUUCUCAGUAAUCUUAAUACAAAAAAGGAAAAAAAAAAACACUCAAUUUACUUAUUGUUUGACAAAUAAAAUUUCCAGAUAUUCAACAACUCCUAUUGAUAUUUCAAGUGGUCACCAAUGUUCCACCCUAUUCAGAACAGUGAAGGUAAGCUUGGUUGCAAGGUCGGGAAGUGCCAGAAUUAAUAUAAAGUUGAAAUAGAUACUCUAUUUGACUUCUUCAAAACAGCCACCAAUCUCACGGAUGAAUAAGAUGAUCUGGCAGAAUGAAUAAGGAACAGGACAUAUCAUUAACUCAGAAAAAGUUUUAACAACAUAUAUGUAUAAAAUGUUCACAUCACAUUGGAAUCUGACUAUAAAGCAGCUAUAGACAAAAUAAAUAUAGAAUAAUCACAUAACCAUGGAUAAUAAUGUGCCGCCAGUACUAAAAAAUGAUAAAUUUCAUAAUGAAUUUGGUAAGAUGAUUCCUCAAUCUUAUCAGAACAAACUACUUACAAAAGAUUUAAGGGCAGCACCAGAGGAUCAGAGUUUACAUAAUCAAAAAUCAAAAUACAAAUGGAUCUAGACAAAGACUGCAACAUCAAAUUCUUGAUUUACACAUGAUAUUCAGAUGUGUUACAAAUAAACAAAGAAGUUCACAAAAAAUCAACAUUUUAAUUUCAUUUUUACAUAGCUUGAGAAAACUUGUCGACUGUAUUUACUUAUUUAGUUUGUAAAUCAUUCUUAAACAUGAACAAUUCUUAUGCUAGAUUCAAGAGAACUAAAUAAAACCAUGAAUUACUUUAAUCACCUAACAAGCAAAAUUAGGUCAAGACCUCUCAUGGCUAAGGCUAUAAGAUAGCAAGGUCUAGAGAGUUUUCAAUAGUCUACAAGCAUACACAAUGUGCACAGUGGUGUUCUUCCCUAUUUGUAUCCAUAACAACUAUGUUGCAAUUAAGCAACACACAAUUAAGCAAAUCUGCUGUAGCAUGUUGACAAGUCCACAUGAAUAUGCUGCUUAUUGUUCAUACGACCACAUAAUCAAACCUACUUGUUAUUGAAAUAAAAUUUUACAUCAUGCCGGUCUUACAGAUAUUCAAAUAAACUUGGUACCACAGGUCAGCAAGAUUAAGAAAUAAUGUCAUAAAAUUGCGAUAGACAAAUCGGAUAACUUUAUCAGUGAAGGGUUUAUUCUGUGGUCGUUAAUAUAACAUGAUUGUACAUUAAAUUGUUCCUUAUGAUCACCGAACAGACAAUGAACAAAGUGAUUCAAUUAUUAAACAACAAUUUCAUGUUUUGUCAUCUUUUGUUACACUUUCGAGGGAUUCAACCAUAUUAAAAUUAGCUUUGGGUUUCAACAAUAUAUAUUUAGUCAAGAGAACACCACCUACCAACACAAGUCAAAAGUGCUGAGCUAUCUCAAAAUAAAAUUUUCUUCUCUGAGGAGAUAUGUGCAGAUUAACUUUUUACCAUCAUUUCUCCUACUUUGUCUCACUACAUCACUGCCGCCUUUGAAGUCACCUGAACCAACAACACGUGCCACCACAAUCUAUCUCCUCUACUAUCUCACCAUGAAGAUGCCCAUCCCACCCCUUUUCCGUCUUUGGUCCAUGCAAGCCACGAAACUUACAUAAAAGCAAAUCCAUUGUAACAAGCGGCAACAUUAGCAAUAGGAAUAAACAUCUCGUUUUUGUAGCUCAACCUGAUCAAGUUAGCCAGACCUUGUUGACACAUUGUCCGCUUAUUGAAUUCUAUUUUAUUUUAUUUUAUUUUUAAGGAGGGAAGGUUCAAUGCUCCGCCAAAUGAUGUGCUAAUAUAAUAUCUAAUAUAAGAACUUUCAAUUAGUAAUAAAUACUAUGUUUUUGUACAAUUUCUAUUUUUGUAUUAUGCGCAUUUUCCACAUUAAAAACCUUACAACUCACCACCAAAUAACAGCAAGACCAAGUUGUGAUUAAAAAAGAAAAGUUUACUUAUGAAGUAAAGUAGGUAUACAAAUAUGAGCAACUGAACUUAGACAAAAUGUGCUCUGGAUGCAUGUAACUUGUAAUUCUCUGCCUGCACACCUUCCUACUUUUCCCGUAUACAUCACAUUCCAUAAUUAUUGAUCUCUUGCCAGUCUAGGGAAUUUUACAGUCUCUCAAAACUUUGAGUGCUUCUUUCAGAAGUCAAAAAUUUGGGUUUUGCUGAUUCUGAUUCACGAAUACUAGUUUUUUCUAAGACUUUCUAGGAAGAUAAGAGUGGAUUGAUAUCAUAUUCUAACUGUCAUAAGCUAGAUAAACUUUGCUGAUAAGUGGUAAAGCGUGGAAACUCUAACCUUCUUGCAAGUACAUUGAAAUAAAAACUCCAUCAAAGGAUUUUAUUUUCCAUGUAAAUCAAAGAAAAUCAACAAACUCAUUUAAAUAGUAAAAGAUUAACUAUUCAAUAAAUCUCAGUCCUUUCAGCAACAGGACGGUACGUAAUCACCGCUUGUAAAUCAUGUUAAUAAGGGAAAAUCUGCUUUAUAUGAUAUAUAUACCAUGCUGUAAACAGAAAUAUUCGGCACUUUAUGCUUGGAAAAGGCCCAAGAAUUCACCAACAUGCCCACAAACCCGUUACAUGGUACACGAUAGUUAGCACAGAAGCUCAAAUUUAUUUCCUUAAGGUCUCUAACUUUGACUCCUUAGCAUAUUAACACAAGGAAACGGCCCAUACCUAACCCUAAACGCACGAAACUCAAUUCUCACCUAACAAAUUCCACCACCAGACACGCUAAACAUCCACGGCCAUCACCGAAUUCCACAAACCCCAAACUAAACACCAUUACGAAACCCUAAAUCACAUCAAGAACCUCCACACUGGCACAAUCCAUAACACUAAGCACAGAAACCACCAAAGCCGAAGCAAACGAGCUCAGAAACCCUAGCUAACGGGACCACAACCUCGCGAACGACGAAUCCAAGCAAGAUCCGAGCUCAAUUAAGCCAAAUUACAUCAAAAUUAGGAAAAAUUCGAGGAGAUGAACGAGAAUUGGGGGCGGAAGAGAAGCGCGGAAGCGCGAGAGGAGUCGAAUCGAGAUCGAACCUUCUUCUUCCACCCCGGCGGGGCCGGGAGCUCCACGGAGACCACCUCCUCCGCCGCCGCCGGAGGAGGCGCCGCCGCGCCCUCCGCCGCCGCGCUCGCCAUCGCUCUCCCCCUCCCCUGUUUUCGAGUUUUCGCUUCCCGCUCUCACUGUCGAACGAACUAGUAACGAAGCGAAAGAUAAAAAAAAAAAAGAAAUUAUUAUUAUUAAUAAUAAGAUAUAUGUGGGCGAAAUGGAAGUUAUAGAUGUGUAAAAGGGUAACGCUUCUGGGGACCACGAGGAGGGGGGGGGGGUCGAAGAAAUAUUCCUGAACCUGGUGCAACAUAGACCAAUUCUUAAAUUAUCAAUAAAAUAUUUAGAUUUAUUCUAAAUUUCAUGAUCAAUUUUAUUUUAAUUAAUUUUAAUCCUCUAAGUAUGAAUUAUAUGGCCUUUUCUAUGACGUGUGGACCAGGUCCAGGGCGUUGUUGUCUGAACCGUCACACAGGACGUCACGGGCUCACGCGCCCCUCGCUGCCGCUCGACCGCAAACGGGACCCGCGCCGACGCCUUGAAAGUGCGAAAACAAAAAAAAAAAAAAAAAAAAAAAAAAAAAAAACAAACAAAAAAAAAAAAAAAAAAAAAAAAAAAAAAAAAAAAAAAAAAAAAAAAGAACA
rnacentral:lncRNA from 1 species